ensembl:ncRNA K08A8.28 ncRNA
UGUUUGCGAACACGAUGUGAUACACACAAAUGGACUCGUCUUCUCGCUCACUACUUUUCGCCUCCCGUCUCCCCAUCUUUCCGCCGACUGUAAAUACCAUUACCCGAGAGUGAUUCCACACAAAAGGUGGGCUGCGCACAAC